rnacentral:pre_miRNA from 1 species
AUAUAGAUUACCUGAGGACCUUGUUAAAUUGCAGAUUUUGAUUCAGUAGGUCUGGAGUGUAUCUGACAUUCUGCAUAUCUAAUAAGCUCCCAUGUGAUGCAGUC